UACAGAGGUCUCAAGCGUUGUUCGGAUUCAUUGGGCGUAAAGGGUGUGUAGGUGGCGCGCUAAGUCGGGUGUGAAAUUUCGGAGCUUAACUCCGAAACUGCAUUCGAUACUGGCGUGCUUGAGGACUGGAGAGGAGACUGGAAUUCAUGGUGUAGCAGUGAAAUGCGUAGAGAUCAUGAGGAAGACCAGUGGCGAAGGCGGGUCUCUGGGCCGAUACUGACGCUGAGGAGCGAAAGCGUGGGGGAGCGAACAGG
rnacentral:rRNA from 1 species